GGCGAACGGGUGAGUAACGCGUUGGUAACCUACCUUCAAGUGGAGGAUAAUCCCGGGAAACUGGGACUAAUACUGCAUGUGGUGAUGGAGCGCAUGCUUUGUCACUAAAGCCGCAAGGCGCUUGAAGAGGGGCCUGCGUCCGAUUAGCUAGUUGGUGGGGUAAUAGCCUACCAAGGCGACGAUCGGUAGCUGGUUUGAGAGGAUGACCAGCCACACGGGGACUGAGACACGGCCCCGACUCCUACGGGAGGCAGCAGCAAGGAAUCUUGCGCAAUGGGCGAAAGCCUGACGCAGCGACGCCGCGUGAGGGAAGAAGGACUUCGGUUCGUAAACCUCUUUUCUCAGGGAAGAAUAAUGACGGUACCUGAGGAAUAAGUCACGGCUAACUACGUGCCAGCAGCCGCGGUAAUACGUAGGUGGCUAGCGUUAUCCGGAUUUAUUGGGCGUAAAGGGGGUGUAGGCGGCUUUUCAAGUCGGAUGUGAAAUCUCCCGGCUCAACCGGGAGGGGUCAUUCGAUACUGUUAGGCUUGAGGGCAGCAGAGGGAGAUGGAAUUCCCGGUGUAGUGGUGAAAUGCGUAGAUAUCGGGAGGAA
rnacentral:rRNA from 1 species